UCUGGAAAGCAUUUAGCUGUCUGGUUAAUGAAGGUUUUGCCGUUCCACGGUGGUGCCUCACUUCCUAAGGGGAGGGAGCACAGGGCUGUAUAAAAGGUCUCUGAGUCUGGUGACUCCCUCUUUCACUCCUCUGGGUUUAUUGCCUAAAACAGUUGACUUCUCUCUGCUUAAGCGUUGGACACGACUCAAUGUGUUUUAGAAGAAACAAACACUCCGUCUGAGAUAAUGCUGUUCUGCUGCCACAAAUGGGAUACAAGUUGAAACAGUGAGCACAUUCCAGAUCUACCUUCAGCUAUCCAUCCUUAAGGGUCAGUUCCAUUUUUCCUUUCCGGUACCUGAGAGUAACCUUUGCCCUCUGGGAUAAAAAUGUCCAAGGAGGGUAUUGUGGAAGAAUGUGGUGCAUUUCAGAAGCUUCCGGCCCACCAUCAACAUGGAGAAAUCACAGUCUAAGCUGUUUUAGACAAGGCUAGCUGAAUUAAAAUGCUCAGCUAAAAUAAGACAUGUAACUAAAAUAAAUUAUGCAUCUAGCUAGCUCACUAGCUAGCUAGUUAGCUACCUAAUUUCUGCAGUCUUUGCCUUCUCUUCAACAAGAUGAGUUGUGCUUUUUAUGGUUCAUCUGAUGACUCGAUGAUCAUCUGUUGCAUCCCUUCCAGCAACAACAGCAGCUCCUGCUGCCCCCUUGUGGCUGUGCUCCAUGCUGCUGCGCCCCCAGCUGCUAUGCCCCUUGCUGCAGCCCCAAGGCUUGUUGCUCCCCUGGCUACUGUCAGACCAAGUGCUACAAGGGAUGCUGCUAAAGAAACUCCAGAAUUACAAGCAAGUCUAGAACCUUCUAGAAGGCAGAAGAACGUCCCCACCAGCACCAGCACCAUAGGUUUUCUCUAUAUCAUCUCACUACUGUGAAUUAACUACUGGAGGGGGCAGCCCUAAGCACAUUUUCCAGUGAGUGAGCUCCUUUGAGCUCAGUGGGAGAAGUUGACAUGCCUUGCACCACAAAGCUUCGAAGCACCCUCCUUCACUCCGUUGAUGGAUUCCUCUCUUCUUUCAUCCAACAAAAUAUAAGUGAAGGUUGGACAGAUGGUGUUUCCAUAUUCUUCUUGGUGCCCAGGGUCCUUCCUUGCAUUUUAUGUAUUCUCCAAUAAAGAUUUAUAAUCAUGGAA